AAAGGUGUAGCUUAUUUCAAAGCAUCCGACCUACACUCGGAAGAUUUCACAAUUUACUGACCACUUUGA
rnacentral:tRNA from 1 species